rnacentral:rRNA from 1 species
UACGUAGGGUGCGAGCGUUGUCCGGAAUUAUUGGGCGUCAAGAGCUCGUAGGCGGUUUGUCACGUCUGCUGUGAAAUCCCGAGGCUCAACCUCGGGCCUGCAGUGGGUACGGGCAGACUGGAGUGCGGUAGGGGAGAAUGGAAUUCCUGGUGUAGCGGUGGAAUGCGCAGAUAUCAGGAGGAACACCGAUGGCGAAGGCAGUUCUCUGGGCCGUAACUGACGCUGAGGAGCGAAAGCGUGGGGAGCGAACAGG